AAUGGCCGCGGUACCCUGACCGUGCAAAGGUAGCAUAAUCAUUUGUCUUUUAAAUCAAGACCUGUAUAAAUGGCACAACGAGAGUUUAACUGUCUUGUUCUUCCUGUCAAUGAACUUGAUCUCCCCGUGCAGAAGCGAGGAUAAAAACAUAAGACAAAAAGACCCUAUGGAGCUUUAGAACACCAAAACAAAUAUUUUUUCAUAAAAUAUUAAUCCGUUUCUUCCUAUUUCUUCGGUUGGGGCGACCAUGGAGAAAAAUAAAACCUCCACGAAACUAAUACUUUAACCUUAAUACAACAAAUUUAAGUUGAAGAAUCUCUAUUGUAAGAUCCAAAAAUAACGAUCAACGAAACAAGUUACCCUAGGGAUAACAGCGCAAUCCCCUUUUAAAGCUCACAUCAACAAGGGGGUUUACGACCUCGAUGUUGGAUCAGGACAUCCUAAU
rnacentral:rRNA from 1 species